CGGUACAGAGACGUCUGUAUUUAUCCUCGAGAGGCUGCAGAACCUUUAGGAAAACUUCACAUUCUUGAAUUCUUAUCGUGCGUCCUUGAUUCAACUUGAAAAGUAACUCUUGAAAUUCCUUCUACGCGUUCGUAUGUGCGCAUGAGCGCUCAGUAUCAGAUAUGCCUUGAUGGCUUGUGAUUCCCUGAUCGAGGGGCGAGAUGUGAUCUCUGUGAGUUUGAUGUUGGGCCAGUCUGGAGGACUUGAGGCCGAAUAUUUGCCUAUGGCUUAAGCACCGAGGUGCUGAUUGUGUGAGCAAGGAUUUUUGCACUUAUAUAUUCGGUAGUCUCCCUAUUAGUAGAAGUUAUGGCUGACAACUAUGUGAUGAGUAUAUUAGUAUUGCGAGAUGUAUCCAUCUUGAUUUGAGGUAUAGCCCCGAGUUAUGGGCGCGUGAAUAAUCUUUUCAUGUCUCCUAUUUGGAGUGAAGUAAGUUUCUUGUUACGGUAUGAGUUUAGACUAAGGAAGAUUAAGUGACUGUGUAAUGUGUAUUACAGUGGAAGGUAUACAAAAUGUUAAUUGGAGGCAAAAAAAGUGGGUUAUCUCCUGCGGAGUGUUCUAAGGUGGUGUGAUCCUUAUGUUGUCUAUUAGAAGAUCUCAUUUACAAGUGAAGAAUAUGCGUUGAAAUCUAAAUUGUGCUGCCUAGAGAGUGGGCUUAACUAUUGUGUGAGUAAAUGCAAGAAUUGCAGAAGAGUUAAAAUUCCAGAUGAUUUGUGUUUCUACAAGCUUAUGAAGGAGUGAGUUCAAUCUCACUAUGGUAUUACGGCAACAAUAGAGUAUGUGUGUUUUGAUUUAUUGAGUGCGUUUUGUUAUAUGGCUUUGAUCCAAGUUGGGGAGUUUGCUAUUAAUUAAGUUGAUUGCACGGUUAAGAGCUAUAUUAUUCCAGUCUGCCACAGAGAUGCCUCGGUAUUAUUCGAUCUCGGUUCCACCUAUUUUUAUGUGUCCUCAUAUUUUUCUCAUUAUUUGGGUACGCCCCGAGAGUUUCUUUCUUUACCUAUUCAUGUAUCUACCCCGGUGGGAGAUACUGUUGUUGUGAACCGUGUGUACCGGUCAUGUGUUGUGAUUAUUGGGGGUCUGGAGACCCGAGUUGAUUUAUUGCUAUUGAGCAUGAUGGACUUUGAUGUUAUUCUGGGCAUGGAUUGGCUAUCUCCAUGUCGUGCUAUUCUAGACUGUCAUGCUAAGACAGUCACUUUGGCUAUUCUAGGUGUUCCAAGGAUCGAGUGGCGUGGUAUGACUGAUUAUGUUCCUAGCAGAGUAAUUUCUUUCUUGAAAGCCCAACGUAUGGUUGGGAAGGGUUGUCUAUCAUAUCUAGCUUUUGUGCGAGAUAUUGGAGCUGAGACUCCUAGUAUUGAUUCUGUCCCAGUUGUGAGGGAUUUUUCCUGAUGCAUUUCCUGCAGACCUGCCGGGCAUGCUGCCGGAUAGGGAUAUUGAUUUUGGCGUUGACCUGGUGCCGGGCUCUCAGUCUAUUUCUAUUCUGCCGUAUCGUAUGACACCUGCAGAGUUGAGAAAAUUGAAAGAGCAGUUUCAGGAACUCCUAGAUAAGGGGGUUCAUUUGGCCUAGUGUGUCACCUUGGGGUGCACCAGCCUUAUUUGUGAAAAAGAAGGAUGGCACAAUGAGAAUGUGCAUUGAUUACAUGCAAUUGAAUAAAGUAAGAGUGAACAAGUAUCCUUUGUCUCGUAUUGAUAGCUUGGUUAUGUGCGAAUAGAUUUGAAAGUUUUCUUAAUGGUUUUUACCAUGGUCCGAGCCGGAUAUCUCCUACCGGUGCGCGGAUCAUAUUGUACAUUAUGAACUCCUCCUAUAUGGGAGAAAAUAGAAGAUUUCUAACUGCCGAAAUGUAAUUCUACUAUAGCCCAAAAAUUCUAAUGAGAUUUUGUAUUUGCAACAAGAUGGCAUGAUAGACGUGGUGUAUGGUACAUGCUUAAUAUUUUGAUGUGCAAGGUGGCAGUUCAUUCUUAAAGGGAAAGUCAUGAAUUAUGGGUAGAAUAGUCAGUUUCAAAUAUUUAGAUUGAAUGUUAUAACUGCUCGGUAAGGCCUGAGAAGGGUGCACAUUAUAUUCUGAUUAACAGAUGUCUAUUGACGUUUCAAUGCUCACUUGGUUGAUCGACUACCAAUAUUUCGAUCUUGUUAUGUAUUGUAGAAAUUUUUUUGAAAAUAAUUAUCUUGGGAUGGUCGUACUUGAGGGAUGUGUCAGUCAUUUGGGUGCUGAGGUCGUGAUCAGUUACGGUGAUUUAUGCGAUCUAUGAAUUUGGAAACGGAGAAUUCUAAAAAAUAUACAAUUUCGGGAUUGUAGCAUGUUGAGGGGAGUAUUUUAGCUAACUCAUUGGAUGCACUAGUCGAGCUAAUUGAUGGUGAUAACUAUACGCUGUGAGCACGAAUGUAUGUGAGGUUUGAACCUGUGUGCAAGCACUGAGCUAAUAUUCAUGCUCGGAAGAUACGUAGGCUAUGAUAUGCCUAGAGUGGGAUAUUGGGCUUAAAGGUAUAAUGUUUCUCGUAUUCGUAACUUUGUUAAGAACUAUCUGGACUAUACUUGAGAUUUCCAAGAUCCUAAAUUCCAAAACAAACUGGGUAAUUACUAAUUCUGUGUUAACUUGCUGAUUUGAGCUAUGACAGCGCAAUUUGCUCAUACCUACGAUAUAGAGUGUUAUUUAUUCCAGUAAAGGAGAAUGAGAAUCUUGUUUCAGUUAGCAUAUACAUGUGUACUUGUUGGAUUGCUUCUAUAUGAUAUGCUUGGACUGGAGGUCUGUGACCGUGCCAGGUGGAUUAUGUUAUUGGAAAUUAAGUUGCUCGUGAAGUUGAUGUCAAUGUGAGCUAUAGAAGAGCCGGUUAUUAUUAUUCUAUUCAUAUAUCUGGGUUCCACUGUGAUUGACGAGCCCAUAGCAUAUCGUUGGGGUGGUACUUGUGGAACUUGCAAAGCGGCUCUCUUCUUUGAGGUAUUUUCCCUUUCUAGGGCAACCAGAUGGUGAAAUAGUGAGGUUUACUGGUAUGGCAUUGUAUUAUGUACUUUCCCGUGGGCAUGAUGAUUCGCUUGUGGUACUAGACAUCAAAUUGCGCUUGGUUGAUGGUUUUGAGCAUGAUGACUUGGGGUGUCUCAGGUGAACUAGUGUCUAAAUACCUCGCGAUUAGGUUCGGGUGCUCUGUUUCUAUGAUGUGAGACGGAUUCUCAGCCUUGUGUUAUGGUGGUACUAGUGAGCUUGUGGUACAACUCUUUGAUUUGAGUCAUUUUCAUGAAUUUAGUAUACUCGGACUAUUGAUUAUUGGCGCGCAUACUGUGCGAGUUGUGGCUUAGGUAUGUAUUGAUGUGUCAUGUCACCAGAGUAGUGUGUUGGAUUAGAAGAGAUCAGAGGGAUCACUAAUGAAUACAAACGGAUUCAAUUUCGGUAUGUUGGAAGGGAAAUAUCGAGCUUCGACUCAGAAAUUUGAUGUAGCAUUUGCCAAAGGAGAAAGGGCUUCAUGAAUGGUUGACAUAAGAAACGGGUAUGGCUUACAAUGUGUUUUAUUUACCCUUUGCAGUAUAUGAAGAUGUUAGGAUGAGACCUUAGUUGAUAAGAGGUUUUCUAUCGGUAUUCGGUUGUUGUGUGCAACUGCUAUGAUUAGGAGUUAUUGCUGCAAGCAUUUGAGUCAUGUGUUAUGUUAUGUAAUUGCACCCGAGGUUGCAGGUAUGGGUUGUUACAACUUGUUCGGGCUUAUUCACAGUAUAAAUGUGGGAUUCUGAUCAUAUGAAGGAUUUCAAAAGUGAAAAUGUGGUCGUAUGGUUUGUGGGCUAGAUUGGAUUGCAAAAAUUUCAGUUACAAUGUGUUGUCGGACCUAUAUGAGAUAGGGUGACGUGGGAUCACCCCCGGGUUUAUGCGUGGUAAGGUUAUUCAGCGAUUGUUUGGCUUUUGAAACAACUCUGGGCACGUUCGAGGACAAACGUUUGUUUAAGUUGGGGAGGAUGUGACGACCCGACCCGUCGUCUCAUGAGUUACCGCUCCGUUUUUCCUAUUUUCAGCUUCUUUAUGUUUCAUUGUCCGUAUCUUGUGUAAUAGAGUUGAGUUGGAAUGGUUUUGAUAAGAAAUGAGACACUUAGUCUCUUUUAAGAAGGCUUAAGUUGGAAAAGUCAAUCAGACGUUGACUUAUGAGUUAGAGGGCUUGGAUGUGAAUUCCAAUGGUUCGGUUAGCUCCGGGAGAUGAUUUGAGACUUAGGAGCAUGAUCAGAAUUUAUUUUGGAGGCCCAGUGUAGAAUUAGGCUUGAAUUGGCGAAGUAGUAGUUUGACGAUUUCCGGUUGAUAGGUGAGAUUUUGAUCCGGAGUCGGAAUGGAAUUCCGAGAGUUGCUGUAGCUUUAUUAUGUGAUUUAGGAUAUGCGUGCAAAAUUUCAAGUAUUCGGACGUGGUUUAGUUGGGUUUUUUUUAUCAAAAUCAUGUUUCAAAAGUUUUAGAAGAACUUAGGCUUGAAUUUGAGGUAGUUUGAUGGUUUUGGUGUUGUUGAGGUGUUGUUGAUGAUUGGAACGAGGUUGAAUAAUGUUUUAGGAUGCGUUGGUGUUUUUGGUUGAGGUCCCGGGGGCCUCGGAUGUGUUUCGGGUGAGUAUUGAGCGAGUACGGACAUCCCGAAACUUAGAUGGGGCAGUCAUUUGUGCGCGGGGCGAGUGAUGUGGCCCGCGGUCAUGAAGAUCCGCAGAUCAUCGGUCCAACUUCGUAAGCUCAUAUCUUUUGAUCUACAAGGAAUUGUGAGGUGAUAUAAAAAUGAAAGUUGUAGCCCUUCGUGUCUAGUUUCCAGAAAGGUAAAGAUAUCUCAAUUUGGACAUCAGUAGCAAAAUUUAUGGCUAAAAUACUAAAGCGUGUCACUGCAGAGGAAGACCUGUGCGGCCGCGGUUGUGUUUGCGUGGACCACAUUGGCUUGCGCGAACCGCGGUCGGUUUGGUGCGGCCCGUGGUAGCUGAAAUCUGAGGGGGUACCUAUAAAUACGAGGUUUUGGAUUUAUUUAAUAUUUUGACCUAGAGAGCUCGGAUUUUGGCAAUUUUUCGAAGGUUUUUCAAGAAAUUCAUUAGGGUAAAUGAUUUUAACUCAGAUUUGGCUAGUAUACAUGAAUCUAUCACUGAAUUCAUCAUUUAAUUCAUGAAUUUGGAUGGAAUUUGGGAAGAAAAUUGUGAAACCUUUCAAAAAUGUAAAAUGAUGAUUUGAAGGACCAAAUGGCAUCAGAAUUGGAUAAUUUUGGUAUGGUUAGACUCGUGAGGGUAUGAAGAUUCUGAAAAUUUAAAUUUUACCCGAUUCCGAGACGUGGGCCCGGGGCUCGGGUUUUGCUAAUUUCGAGAUUUUUGAUAUUUUUCGAAUGUUUUCGCUUGGGCUAUGUUCCCUUAGCAUAUUGUGACCUAUUUGUUCUGAUUUUGGAUAGAUUCGACGCGCGUGGAGGCCAAUUUGAGAGGCAAGAGCAUAGCGAGCUAGAGUUUUGGCCAGUUCGAGGUGAGUAAUGAUUUUAAAUGAUGUCCUGAGGGUUUGAAACUCCGGAUUUGCACAACAUAGUGCUAUACUAAGUUGAUAUACACGCUGUGUGACGUGCGUGAGGUUCAAUACUAUGGGGAUUGUAACUUGGUCCAUCCCGAAAGAUAUUUUACUACAUUUUUGAUUGAGACAUAUACNNNNNNNNNNNNNNNNNNNNNNNNNGUUAUUAUUGUGAAUUGGGCUAGUUGCCAUGCUUGGGGCCUUGUGCCGACCUGUAGAACCCUUAGGGGAUUUUUGACUGGUUUUCCUCACUUAUUUUGUUAAAGAAUUUAUAUCCUCAGUCAUGUUUCCAAUUGUUUAAGAAUGAUAUGAACCAGAUUUUUGAAAUGUUAAUCAUAAAUAGGAAGAGAUAUGAGGGCUGAGAUCCCGACCGUACAUUAUGCCCGAGAGGCUGUGAUUUUUAAAUGACUGAGAGGGGUCGAGGACCCAAUAGUGAGGAUAUUUUACAUAUUAUGGAUCGGGCUGCACGCCGCAACAAUUACAUAUUAUUGAUCGGGCUGCACGCAGUAGCAGCUAUAUAUAUUACACAUAUUAUGGAUCAGGCUGCACGCCACAGCAAUUACAUAUUAUGGAUCGGGCUGCACGCCGCAACAAUUACUUAUAUGGAUCGGGCUGCACGCCGCAACAAUUACUUAUAUUGAUCGAGCUGCACGCCGCAACAAUUAUAUAGCGCUUGGGCUGAAGGAGCCUCUUCGGAGUCUGCACACCCCCAGUGAGCGCAGUCGACUGUUAUUAUUAUGGAUCAGGCUGUACGCCAUAGCGAUAUACGGAUCGGGAUGCACGCCGCAGCGGUAUAUAUAUUUAUUGAUUCGGUUAUCGUGAGAAGUAUAUGAAUUGAGAACUAAGGAUAAGAACGAAUAAAUGAACUGAAAUGCUUGAGGAGCUGAUUUAUACUGAUUAUAUCUGUUUUACCUGGUUUAAAGAAUUUCACAUGAUUUCCUCAUUCACUGCUGCUUAAACGAUUCUACUGUUUUGGUAUAGAACUGCUUAGUGCCUUUACGUGAUUUCAUACUGUCAGCCAUUAUUUAUUGUUAUUACUCACUGGGUCGGAGUACUCACAUUACUCCCUGCACCAUGUGCGCAGGUACAGGUAUUCCUGAGGCAUAGAGCGAGCUUUCCUGCCGUUCUAUUUUCAUCGGAGUUAUCGAGGUAGCUGCAUGGUGUUCGCAGACCCGAUUUCUCCUUCUAUCUCCACUUAUUAUUCCGCAUUUUAGACAUAUUUCUGUAUUAGAUUGUUAAAACCUUGUAUUAGAAGCUCAGACUUGUGACACCGGAUCAAUGGGCUAUUUUACAGAGAUUUUUCGUGAUUAUGGUUUCCGCACAUUUCAUCCGUUAAAUUCAUACUUCUAUUUAUAUUAAAUUGGUAUUAAAUCCCGAAAAUUGGUAUUGAAUUAUAAAGAAAGAAUUGUGAGAUGUUAAUUGGUCGGGCUUGCCUAGCAUUGUGUUGGGCACUAUCACGGCCGGGGUUGGGGUCGUGACAAGUUGGUAUUAGAGCCUAGGUUACCUGGUCUCGCGAGUCAUGAGCUGGUUUAGUAGAGUCUCGCAGAUCGGUACGGAGACGUCUGUAUUUAUCCUCGAGAGGCUGCAGAACCUUUAGGAAAACUUCACAUUCUUGAAUUCUUAUCGUGCGUCCUUGAUUCAGCUUGAAAAGUAAUUCUUGAAAUUCCUUCCACGCGUUCGUAUGCGCAUGAACGCUCAGUAUCAGAUAUGCCUUGAUGGCUUGUGAUUCCUUGAUCGAGGGGCGAGAUGUGAUCUCUGUGAGUUUGAUGUUGGGCCAGUCUGGAGCACUUGAGGCCGAAUAUUUGCCUUUGGCUUGAGCACCGAUGUGCUGAUUGUGUGAGCAAGGAUUUUUGAACUUAUAUGUUCGGUAGUGUCCCUAUUAGUAGAAGUAAUGGCUGACAACUAUGUUAAGUUUAUAUUGUUCGCGUCAUCUAACAUUCCUAUCAGGACAUUUCUUUUCAGAGCAGGGACGCUUGUUUGUUUGUCCAGAGUCCAUCAAUAUUAAAAUUUGUUGCUCCCUAAUAUCAGUUGGUACAAGAGUCCUACAAUUUUUAAACGUUAUAAAAUUCAUGAUCAGUAAACAAACAAUAGUGCAACCAUACUAAGAAAUAGUUCUAAUGACUUGUACCAAGAGAUUCAUUACAAAAACAUUGGCUGAAAGUCAAUAUUGAUUUAAUUUCAGAAGGUCAGAUCAUUUGAUCCGGUAGAAAUUUUACCAAAUCAAAAAUACUAAUUAGGAAUUGCACAAAUAGCAUUGAUCUACGUAAUAUAUACAUGGUUAAAUGAUCAAUUUUAGCAGCUUAUUAGAUUCUCAAAUAUAUUUUAUAUUAUAUGUAGCUCGUGGUAAGAUAAAGCUUUUCUUCAAGUGAAUACAGUUGAAUGGUCACAUUUGAAGUAUUUAGCAACGGCAUAACCAAAUGAACCACUAAAUGCAACUUAUCUUUCACUUUGCGCAAAGUAAACUGAAACUAUUUUCAUAUCAAAAGCAGAAAAAAAUUAAGAAACCAAAAAUUUUAACCACACAAUAGUAGCCAUAUCAAACAACAAAUGUAUUAUCUUGGGAUUAUCAGAAGACCAGAAAUGGGAACCACAUUACCUUUUGAUUCCAUUAAGCACAUCAAUAGGAAGUCCAAUAAUUGGUCAAUUUUACAUGAAGAAAAUAAAGUGUUUGAACUACUUUUACGUCAAGCCUUAAUUUCAAACCAACCCAAAAUGUUAUGUCACAAUGAUUUAAGUUAAAUAAGCUAAGCUUUUUAGGUUUAAUUUCUUUUCUCUCUUUCUUUUCGAUUUUAGGUUUAAUAUUGUUCAUCAUAAAGCGUAAUGAGAAGGCUCUAGGUUUAACACUUUGCAACUAUUUUUUUUCCUUGGUCAAACCAAAACUUUCUUACCCUUCUAAACAGUAGUCAAAAAGAAGAUUCAUUUCUUGUAAAAUAGUGUUUAGCUUCAGAAAGUUCAAUAUAGUGAGUUCUUGGGAAAACUUAAUACAGCUAGAUAGAAUCCAAUUUGUCAAUGGCAGGCCGGCCCAGUUACACAAGUUGGCACAUAGGAUUUGUUGAGUAAUGACUGCAACUAAGCUGCUUGAUUGUGUAAUAGCGUUAACCCCAUCAAAUUUGAAAGCAAUACCCAAUUGAAUUUCAGUUGAUUUUUAAAAAAUCCACAGCGAUUGCGAAAUUGAUUAAUGGUGAAGCAGACCUCCAAAUUAUUACAUAAUCACACAGUUUUUCCAAUUUACCCAAAAUCAUAAUAAAGGAAUAAAAGAAAUUAGGGCUUUUAGCAUAAGGAUAAAUUUUGGAGUGCAAGGGUAGAAAUCAAGAGGAACAAAGUUAGUGAAAAAGAAGGGUACCUAACAGUAGCGAGAGAGAACCAAAUUCACCGCCUAAGAAGAGUGUUGUUUCAGUUCACUGCAUCCAAACGUUUGUUGCAACUUGCCGUAGUUAUCUUACUGAGCGAGUGUUUUAACAGAAGAGAGUGAGAGCGAAACACGUGUGCAAAUUAGAGACGGUGGAAUUUUACUGAGUUGCAAAUAACUAUCUUUUUAGAUUUUUAUUUUUUCAUGGGUUGGCAUGUGGUGAAAGGCCAAAGAAGCAUUUGGGCCAGACAGGCAUGUUGAUGACACUGACAGGUGCAGAGAGGUUACUCGGAAGAAGUUCAAAAAUUCUGUGCGUUGUUAUCUCAUAGACAGCAUGGUCAACCAACUUUAGCAACGUGUUGCUGUACGGAAGCGCAUGGAAAUUUCUCAUAGCACAAAAGUCAGAUGAAAAUACCUAACUGCCUUCAUGUCGGCAAGCAUAGAUGACAAGGGUCUUCUGCUUGCUCUAGGGCUCUUCUAUGUAGUUAGAAAGAAUAAAGAGCAAUUCCGAUCUGCAAUGGAAAAUUGAUGCAUUUUAUGAUUAAUAGAUCCUUAGCUUUCUCUAUCUUGACUAAAUUAGGGAACAACAGAAUACCAAGACGAUUUUAUGUUACUAUACUAUAACAAUGUUCAAGCAUAAAUAACGAUAAAGACUACAAAUAAAAGUGUCGAAGCAGGUCUUACAGUGAGAAGGUGUUUAACUUUGGGCGUAUUACUACAGGAAUCACAAUCCUCUUUCUAGAUUAUUGAGGACGAAGCAGAUAAAAUUCUAAAUUUUAUCAAUUUCUCAUAUUCCCAAACCCUAGCACCAUCCACCAAUUUUUUCCAAAAAGAAAUCGUAAUCUUACAAUCUUAAAAUAUAUUACACCAAGACCAGUCCUUUCACACAGGAAAAUACAAUAAAUUACACAAUUGAGAAAUCCCAUGAUACAGAGAAAUUAAGAGAGAGAUGUGAUCGAAUAGCAAAAAAGACAACUAAAUGAGGAAAACUUAUAUUACCAAUUAUGGUACAACUCUUCUGAGUGAAACCCCUUGCUGCACAAAGUUGUGAGAAAGAAGAACAUUUACCCUUGCUGCAGAAGAAGAGCAGGGAAAAAUAAACCUCGUAUAAAGUUUUAGCUAGAUUAGCACCAACG
rnacentral:lncRNA from 1 species